rnacentral:lncRNA from 1 species
UUUGCCUAUUGUGUAUAGCGUUAGAAAUUUCGUCUCUGUUAAAAUUUUGAUUAUUUCAAUGGAUUGAAGGUGUAGUGAACUAAACAAAUCUAUUUUACUUCAAUUUGUUUUCACAGUUCCGUUGAUAUUCAUAAAUUUUCAAGAAAUGUUUAUAAAUGUUUUCAGAAUAGAAUUGAAUCAAUUGAUAGUGGAAAAAGAACUGGACAUCAGAAAAAGGAUCUGGAAUUUAAAGAGUAAACCAUCAAUUUGGCCCCUGAACUAUCACUAUCUCUGCAAAUUAGUCCCUAAACUAUUAAAACAUACGAAAAGGUCCCAAGAUAUUCCCCAUCUAUCCCUUUAGUCCUUAGGUUAGUUUAGUAAUUAGUCCUUGUACUCUAUAAAACCUUCAAUUUUUCGUUUCUUCCCCCACUUCCUCUUCUCCUGGUUUUUUGUAAUGAAGUUUAUGAAUUCCAAUUUAUGUGAUUAUGUUGGUUUCGUAUGAUUUUUGGUCUAUAAUAAAUUAUGGUUUAUGUGAUGAUUUCUGAUUAGUGGAUUCACUGGUGUAUUAUGAAACUUUAGGGACAUACUGAUGUAUUUUCAUGCUUUGGGGACUUGGGGACUUAAUAACAAAAAUGUGUAAAUUAUAUAAGUUUGAAAUAGGAGACAGUUGGGUUGCCAACAUGGCAGUUAAAACCAUUCAAAUGCUCAAAUUGAUGGAGAGACUAAAUAGAUGGAUUGGGGAAUGUUUUAAGGACCGUUUAGUAUGUUUUAAUAGUUUAGGCACUAAAUUGGGGAGAGUGAUAUUUGAAGGACAAAACUGACGGUAUAUUUGAAAUUUAUGCACAAUUAUGCAUAAUUUUGGAUCAAUAACACGUCAAUAACCGUAUGAUAUAUCUCUGAAAUUAAAUAGCAUUGCUCAUAAAGU